AUUGAACGCUGGCGGCAGGCCUAACACAUGCAAGUCGAGCGGAUGAAGGGAGCUGGCUCCUGGAUUCAGCGGCGGACGGGUGAGUAAUGCCUAGGAAUCUGCCUGGUAGUGGGGGAUAACGUCCGGAAACGGGCGCUAAUACCGCAUACGUCCUGAGGGAGAAAGUGGGGGAUCUUCGGACCUCACGCUAUCAGAUGAGCCUAGGUCGGAUUAGCUAGUUGGUGGGGUAAAGGCCUACCAAGGCGACGAUCCGUAACUGGUCUGAGAGGAUGAUCAGUCACACUGGAACUGAGACACGGUCCAGACUCCUACGGGAGGCAGCAGUGGGGAAUAUUGGACAAUGGGCGAAAGCCUGAUCCAGCCAUGCCGCGUGUGUGAAGAAGGUCUUCGGAUUUUAAAGCACUUUAAGUUGGGAGGAAGGGCAGUAAGUUAAUACCUUGCUGUUUUGACGUUACCAACAGAAUAAGCACCGGCUAACUUCGUG
rnacentral:rRNA from 1 species